rnacentral:rRNA from 1 species
AUUGAACGCUGGCGGCAGGCCUAACACAUGCAAGUCGAACGGUAACAGGAAGAAGCUUGCUUCUUUGCUGACGAGUGGCGGACGGGUGAGUAAUGUCUGGGAAACUGCCUGAUGGAGGGGGAUAACUACUGGAAACGGUAGCUAAUACCGCAUAACGUCGCAAGACCAAAGAGGGGGACCUUCGGGCCUCUUGCCAUCGGAUGUGCCCGGAUGGGAUUAGCUUGUUGGUGGGGUAACGGCUCACCAAGGCGACGAUCCCUAGCUGGUCUGAGAGGAUGACCAGCCACACUGGAACUGAGACACGGUCCAGACUCAUACGGGAGGCAGCAGUGGGGAAUAUUGCACAAUGGGCGCAAGCCUGAUGCAGCCAUGCCGCGUGUAUGAAGAAGGCCUUCGGGUUGUAAAGUACUUUCAGCGGGGAGGAAGGGAGUAAAGUUAAUACCUUUGCUCACUGACGUUACCCGCAGAAGAAGCACCGGCUAACUCCGUGCCAGCAGCCGCCGUAA